UACAGAGGUCCCAAGCGUUACUGAGAAUCACUGGGUUUAAAGGGUGCGUAGGUGGUCCGUUAAGUCAGUUGUGAAAUCCCCGGGCUCAACCCGGGAAAUGCUUCUGAUACUGGCGGACUUGAGGCCAGUAGGGGUCACUAGAACUGACGGUGGAGCGGUGAAAUGCGUAGAUAUCGUCAGGAAUGCCGGUGGUGAAGACGGGUGACUGGGCUGGUUCUGACACUGAGGCACGAAAGCGUGGG
rnacentral:rRNA from 1 species